GCUGGAAUAGCUCAGUUGGUAGAGCAUACCCAUGGUAAGGGUAAGGUCUCGGGUUCGACCCCCGAUUCCAGCU
rnacentral:tRNA from 1 species